GCGUCAGUAAUGUAACGGAUAGAGUAUCCGCUCCUGAAAAGAGUGAGGUGCGGGUUCUAGUCCCGCCUGACGCG